CUGGAGGUAUCAGAAGUGCGAAUGCUGACAUAAGUAACGAUAAAGCGGGUGAAAAGCCCGCUCGCCGGAAGACCAAGGGUUCCUGUCCAACGUUAAUCGGGGCAGGGUGAGUCGACCCCUAAGGCGAGGCCGAAAGGCGUAGUCGAUGGGAAACAGGUUAAUAUUCCUGUACUUGGUGUUACUGCGAAGGGGGGACGGAGAAGGCUAUGUUGGCCGGGCGACGGUUGUCCCGGUUUAAGCGUGUAGGCUGGUUUUCCAGGCAAAUCCGGAAAAUCAAGGCUGAGGCGUGAUGACGAGGCACUACGGUGCUGAAGCAACAAAUGCCCUGCUUCCAGGAAAAGCCUCUAAGCAUCAGGUAACAUCAAAUCGUACCCCAAACCGACACAGGUGGUCAGGUAGAGAAUACCAAGGCGCUUGAGAGAACUCGGGUGAAGGAACUAGGCAAAAUGGUGCCGUAACUUCGGGAGAAGGCACGCUGAUAUGUAGGUGAAGUCCCUCGCGGAUGGAGCUGAAAUCAGUCGAAGAUACCAGCUGGCUGCAACUGUUUAUUAAAAACACAGCACUGUGCAAACACGAAAGUGGACGUAUACGGUGUGACGCCUGCCCGGUGCCGGAAGGUUAAUUGAUGGGGUUAGCCGCAAGGCGAAGCUCUUGAUCGAAGCCCCGGUAAACGGCGGCCGUAACUAUAA
rnacentral:rRNA from 1 species